CCAUUAGUUCGUAGGUGACCUGCGGAAGGUCAUUACCGAGUGAGGGCCCUCUGGGUCCAACCUCCCACCCGUGUUUAUUUUACCUUGUUGCUUCGGCGGGCCCGCCUUUACUGGCCGCCGGGGGGCUCACGCCCCCGGGCCCGCGCCCGCCGAAGACACCCUCGAACUCUGUCUGAAGAUUGAAGUCUGAGUGAAAAUAUAAAUUAUUUAAAACUUUCAACAACGGAUCUCUUGGUUCCGGCAUCGAUGAAGAACGCAGCGAAAUGCGAUACGUAAUGUGAAUUGCAAAUUCAGUGAAUCAUCGAGUCUUUGAACGCACAUUGCGCCCCCUGGUAUUCCGGGGGGCAUGCCUGUCCGAGCGUCAUUGCUGCCCUCAAGCCCGGCUUGUGUGUUGGGCCCCGUCCUCCGAUUCCGGGGGACGGGCCCGAAAGGCAGCGGCGGCACCGCGUCCGGUCCUCGAGCGUAUGGGGCUUUGUCACCCGCUCUGUAGGCCCGGCCGGCGCUUGCCGAUCAACCCAAAUUUUUAUCCAGGUUGACCUCGGAUCAGGUAGGGAUACCCGCUGAACUUAAGCAUAUCAAAAGGCGGAAGGAAA
rnacentral:rRNA from 1 species